ACCCCUUCAACAGCAAACACAUGAGCUGGCGUAUCGAGACGCAUCAUGGUCAAAUUAGGAACUUCAUUCCAGAACUUCACCAUAAUCAUUAAAGCCAACGUUGCAAGAGCAUCUGCCAUCCUAUUUUCAUCUUGAGGCAUAUGAUGAAACUCAACCUUUGUAAAGAAAUUUGAAAUCCUUCUCGCAUAGUCUCUAUAUGGUAUCAAACCGGGUUGAUUC
rnacentral:lncRNA from 1 species